rnacentral:lncRNA from 10 species
GGAACGGAUUUCUCCUCACAGCCCUCAGAAGAAACCAACCCUGUCACCAUUUUGAUCUUGGACUUUAGCCUCUGGAACUGUGAGACAAUACAUUUCUGUUUGUUUCAGCCACCUAGUUCAUAGUACUUUGAAGUGACCUUUACACCACUCUCACUUAGAGAUGAGGUCUGUGUCCCCUCCUCUUGAAAUUGAGUGGCUUUUGUGACUGUGUACACAGGUAGAGUAAACUGCAGAGCUGCCUGUCUGUGACUUCCAAGGCUAGGUCAUAAAAGGAGAUAAAGCUUCUUCCUGGCUGGUUGGGCUGCUUGCUCUUGAAGCCUUCAGUCUCUAUGCACGCAGCAUGCCUUCCCAGCCUCCUGUGGUUGUAGAGUGUAUAGAAGGCAGUUGGAUCACUAUGGACAGCGGGUAAGAGCUGAGGAAGCAGCCUCCGCCAGGUGGUAACAUGGAGGACCCUGAAGUCCUCUCUCUUUCAGCCACACCCUGAAUUGUACUCUGUUACCUUAGAAGUAGUGCAUUUGAUGGUUGUUUUGAAAAAAUAAAUGAAUGAAGGAGGACCAGUUCAUAUUACCCUUCAAAAAGGCAUAGACCAUUGGCCAUUCUCUGACCAUCUCAAGCCAGAGGUGACUUGAUCUGUCACCCAGCUGUGGCCCAUGAGCAUUAUCUAAGGAGGAACAUUUUUGCUUACGUUUCCAGUGCUCUACAUAAGCCCUAGGCCCUGGGAGGCACUGAAAUGCUCAAUGGGAGCUCCAUGUGUGCAGGCUUAUGGACUGAAAUACUACUUUCAUGGCUCUGGCUAUGAACAUCAGCAUAUAGAGAAUGGAUCACUACCAAAGAAGGCACCCGAAUGUGUCUGUCUCAUCCUGGGGAAACUCAUUCAUCUGUAUAUGUACUCAGCAAGUGUUUCCUGGCACCUGCUCUGGGUCACAGUGCUGGGCACUGGAAGCUGAGAGAUGUGGAAGAAGGCUGGACAUUCAAGAUGAGAAGCCCGAGGCUGGUAAACUAGAGUCCAAGGGCAGAAAGCUGGGACAAUGGCUGGAGGAAGAAAUGAGAGGAUCUCUAUACCCAGGCCUUGGCUUCUAUGUCCCUUCUCGAAGUGGUUGAAGUGCAGAUUUCUGAUUCUGUACCCAGCCUCCAGGGACACAGUACACAGUAUGCUGGGAAUGGCGGUGGGUGUUUGAGGUACAUUACUUCCAGACAAAACAUGGCUGCAGAGGGAUACCAAAAGCAUCUUCUGGUGGCUGAAGCCCUGUCUGCACAAGUGUCUGUGUUCUUCAAUGGUUCAGGCAAGCUCAGACAGACCCUCUGCUUCUCUUAACCUGAGACACUAGUUUCCCCAAGAACUUUGAGCUGAAGGUUCCUUGCUGUGUCCCCUACCUGGCUGUGAGGACUUUGAGUAUAAUUAUCCUAUCUUAUUUGUUGCUGUGCUCCCAGUGUCUUGGAUGGAGCCUGACAUCUAGUCAGUGUUAGUAAAUGUUGAUGUGUAUUGAAUUUUGCAAGGAUCUGCAGCCCUGAGAAGAGGGGAUACUUCUUGGAAACCUCUGUGGGCUAAAUUGAGGGUUAAGGACUGGGACUGGAAGGCAGAGAUUCCAGAGUGAUAACCACAGUAGUUACUAUUUCAUGAGAGCCUCCAUGUGCCAGCCUCUAAGCUAGGCCCAUACCAUGCAUUACCUCUUGUCCCCACUUUACAGAAACUAAGGCUUAGACAAGUUAAGCAACUUGCUAAAGAUCAAACAACUCAAUAUGUGUUGGAGUCAAAUGAACGCAUUUCUUUUCCAUUUCCCUCAUUUACUCCACUAAUGACAGUACUUAAAUUGUAGACUAGGAAUUAAAAUAGCAGAAGCCUGACUUGAGAGGGCAGAGCCCCUGCGUUUGAGUGCCUGAAAGUCAGUCAUGGGUAGAAAGAACAGUCUUGUAGCAGAGCUCUGGGCAAGGGAGGAGCCGUGAGCAGGUGGACAUGAACUCACUGUGACAACUCUCCAACAGUGAAAGCAGGUUCCCAUGGAAUCCAGGGAAAUUACUGAAUAACUUUCAACACAAAAAUGUGUGCUAGUGAGCUGUAGAGCCUUUAUAUCCCCCCAAAACAUAUUAUGGGGGUGGGGGGGGGGCGCGGAAUUCUGAAUUUUUGUUGUUGUUGUUGUUGUUGAGACAGAGUUUUGCUGUUGUUGCCCAGGCUGGAGUGCAAUGGCACAAUCUUGGCUCUCCACAACCUCCGCCUCCUGGAUUCAAGCGAUUCUCCUGCCCCAGCCUCCAGAGUAGGGGCUGGGAUUGUAGACAUGCGCCACCACGCCUGGCUAAUUUUGUAUUUUUAGUAGAGAUAGGGUUUCUGCAUGUUGAUCAGGCUGGUCUCGAACUCCUGACCUCAGGUGAUCCACCCGCCUUGGCCUCCCAAAGUGCUGGGAUUACAGGUGUGUGCCACGGCGCCCGGCCUAAGUAAAUAGUUUGGAAAGCUGCAUCCAAUAGUCUCUUUUGAAGAUUCACAAUGCACCCUAGCUUGUUAACUAUUCCAAGAAGUCCCCGGAAAAGAAUGCUUGUUUGACUUUCUUGAAUCCAGUGUUGCCCAUGUUUAUUUGACUAGUGAGCAGGUUUUUUUGUUUGUUUGUUUGUUUUUUAAGUGACACUUUUUAACACUCUGAGGCAGUAAUAUUGUACUGAACACAUGGGGAAUCUUCUGUGGAAGUUUGGCCUGGAAUACAUCCUCUGUGUUCCUUCUCGCCCCGUGGCUGAGUGAGUGUGCUGUAAAAGCUUAGUGACAGAAAAGCCCCACUUAGCCUAUUUGUGAUGAUUUCCUAAACCGGGCAAAUAACUCAUCUGAAUGGCUGAGGUGAUAAACUCACAGGAGGAGAAGAUGCUGGAGGAAGUGUCAUGUGUCCUGCAUGUAGGUACCACUUCACCUCCCAGCAAGGCGAUGCUGAUAGCAACGUUUUCCUUGGGUGUUGAAUUUUCCAUCCUGCAAUUACGUCUUAAGCCAUAGAUAAAAUUCACAUCCACGUUUCACUCAAGAUAAACCUAACAUCAUAAUAAUACAGAAGAUUAAUUCAUUGGGGAAAAAUAGAAGAAAAUUGGUCUUGGCUUAAAGAGAAGUCAACAUUUAGAAUGUGUAGAAGGGGAUUUCUUCUGGAUCACACUCUGUCCUCAACAGUGGCAUGUGAAAAUGUAUGUGGUUCGCUUUAGUGCAUGCAUGUUUGUGCCUGUCCCACUGACACAUCCACAGUGUGACCCAUAGAGGUCCACUUCUAAGACCCCUAACUCUGAGUCCAACCCACCCUUUUGGGCUCACUGCAGUCAUUUCUCUCUGAAGUCUUCCUUGACAACCUAGGCAUCAUCAGUUUUUCUCUUCUCUGAUCAUCUUAGCAAGUGUAUCCAUAAGCUAUAAUCACAAUCAUGCUGCAUAACAAAACCAAAAACUCAAUGGCCAAUAACAAUGAACAUUUAUUUUUUGUUUUCAUGUCUAGAGGCCAGGUGGGGGGUGGCUGAUCUAAGCUGGGUUUUGCUCUAGGUUAGAUUUAGUCUAGGUUGGCCUCACAUGUCUCUCAUUCUUCAGGUGUCAGGAGGCCACCAUGGGCCUGAUCUUCAGGACAGAUGCCUCUUAAGACUUGGGCUUUGACUCAUACACUGUUACUGCCACCCAUGUCCUGUUGGCCAAAGUCAAUUUCAUUACCAAGCCCAAGAUCUGUGGAGUGGAGAAAUGCAUUUUGAAGGGGAGGGAGUCAAUCUGUAAUGAGCACCAUGAUGUACCAUAGAGCAUUUGUAGUCAUGAGCCUGAUUUAGACACUUGGUGGGGUAUCUCUGUGCUCUUAGGAAUUGUGUCUCUGUGUCUGUCAGAGGUGAUAACAUUGGAGCUGAGCCUUAAAAAAUAAAAGUUUCCUCAAACACCUCUGUGACUUCUGUGAUGCCUUCUGUUCACCACCCACAGUAGCACUGAAGGAAGAAAAGUAGUAACAUGUGAAGUGCAUAGGCAGCCCAGGGAGUCAUGCAUCCUAGUUCUGCAAGGAGGGUGCCCCUAGCCAGCCCUUGAUUGCCUCCCAGUUUUGGAGUUUGUAAGAGUCACAAAUAAUCACACUUCCCUCUCCUCAAAGUUCUGAACCAACUAAAAAUUAUACAUGGGAAUUUGAUGGGGAUGAAAAUAUGGACUUUAUAAGUAAAAAUGAAUUUGAGAACAGCUUGGACCUGAAGCUGAAGGGGUUUCCUUGAUACUUUUCAUCUGGAUCCUGUAGUCCACCUGAGGGUAGUUGUGGGUCUUCAUGGUGGACUUUUAACCAGAUGCAUGAAAAAUUGUGGCCAGGAGAGAGGCCACACCUGAGAGGGAUGUUUACACAUGAGAAACAUAGACCAGUGGGUGUCAGCCUCUUGCCACCUCAACAAUUAUGCCAAUUUCUCCUACACACAAAUGAAGGAGAGAAGAGCUAAGUGUGAAAGGAAAGAUGGAACUCUGUCCUCCCCAUCUAAUCCGGGAUGGAAGCUGUCUGUUGCAGGGACCAGCAUGAGGUGGGGAGGAAGGAUGACCCCGGUGAUCUAGAAAAUGGGACUGAUGCUAUUUAGACGGCUGCCAUCACUGAGUCAGCGGGUGUGGGCUUCUUUAUGCACUUGCUAGAAAUGGGCCAUCAGGCCACUCCUAGUGUGCCCUGGAGCAACUUGUUCUUGUCUGCAAGUCCAGAUGCAGAACACCUAACUCCACUCCACUUCAUCCCCAAAUCCCAACCCGUCUUCACUCAUUUCCGACUGAACCAAGCCACCUGAGUGUCGUGAGUUCACCUGUGUGUUCUUGCCAUCUCCUGGGAUGGAGUCCCCACAGGUCAGAACACUUGAACUCAUUGUGUAGAACCAGAUUCUCUCCCACACUUUUCUCUCUCCUCUCAGAGGCCAAUUUGUUCUGCAGUCAAUUCUGCAGAAGUUAGAAAUAAAGCAUGGUGACCAAUCAGAGAUGAGAGAGGGUGUGGUUGGGCUGAGAGUCACUUUUCAGAGCUUAUGAAAAGCUGCAAACCCGGUGGAUGGCUUACACUCUUUCCUCAAGGGCAACACACUGAGUGAGAGGGUGCUGGAGGGGGAUGCUGGGGAAAGCGAGCUUGUAUUCAAGGAGGCCUGUGGUGUCAUUAUUUACAGUGUCACACCUGAUCCUCCCAACGACCCCAUCUCUAGGCUCUGGAAGUUAGUGGUUAAGAGCACAUCUCUCAGGCUUGUUCACAUACAGUUGUGUGACCUUGGGCAAGUCUCUGUGCCUCAGUUUACUCAUCUGUAGAAUGUUGGUAGAGGAGGAUAUUAAGAGUAACUACCACAUAGUGGUGCUGGGAGGAUAAAAUGAUUUAAUAGAUGUGAUGGGCAGCUGUGGGGAUGGCUCCCAGUGAUCCCUGUCUCCAGGUAUCCAUGCCCUUGCUUGUAAGGAAGAGAAUAUGGCAAAGUUGAUAGGCUGUCUCUUCCAAGAUCAGGUUACAAGAGACUGUGAACUCCCUCUUGCUUACUUUCUCUUACUCUCUUUCUUACUCCAGUGGAAACCAACAGCGUGUUACGAGCUGCCCAGUGGAGAAACCCACACUACAAGAAACUGUGGAUGGCCUCCUCUGGUCAAUAGCCAGCUAGGAAUAAGGCCUUCAUCCAAUAGCCCAUGAGGAACUGAAUCCUGCCAAAAACCACACACGUGAGCUUAGAAGCAGAUCUUUCCCCAGUAGAGCCUUGAAAUGACUGCUGCCCCCACCUGACACCUUAACUGUGGUCUGUGUGAGACUCUGAAACAGGGGGCCCAGCUAAGCCAAGCCCAUAUUCCUGACCCACAGACGCUUUGAGAUAAUAUUGAAUAAAUUCUUGUGGUGUUAAGCCACUGAGUUUUAGGGUAAUUUGUUAGACAGCGAUAGAUAACGAAGACAAUACAUUAACAAUUCUUAAGAUACCCAGUGGAUAGUAAACCUUCAAUAGAUAUUGACUGUCUUUAUUAUUAAUAUCUCAGUUUCACAGAUGAGACAAAUGAGGCUCAGAGUGACUUCCCAGAGUUCGACAGUUAAUAUGCAGUAGAGUAGGGGCUCUGCCUUUGUUCUAUCUGACUUCAAAGUCAGUGCUCUCAAAGCAUCACUAUUUGGAAGACUCAGCUCCUUGAGGUGCCUAAGCAGGAUUUGUAGAAAAACAGAGGGCAGAUUUCCAUGGGCUGCCUUAGAUAGGUGAAUGACCCCUUAAGGCUGUAGAGGGCCAGGCCUAGGGCUGGGGAGAGCCAUGGCCAGCUCUUCAGGGAGUCUACAUGGGUAGGAGGACUAGCUCCUGCACCCAAACUUCACUAGGGGCUAGGUCUUCCAGCACAUGGGAGAACCAACGCAUGGCUGAGUCUGCUCCUAGAGUUUGUAAGAUGCUGUGUACUGAGAAAUGGAGCUCUGGUCUCUCCUCGCCCUCUGCUAUAGUUUCAAUGUGUUCCCCAAAAAGCAUGUGUUGGAAACUUAAUCCCCAAUGCAACAGUGUUGGGAAGUAGGGCCUAAUGGGAGGUGUUUAGGGCAUGAGGUCUCUGUCCUCAUGAAUGGAUUAAUGCCGAUUAUAAAAGGUCUUGAGCAUGUGAGUUCAUUCUCUUGCUCUCUCACAAUGCUGUCUUGCCCUUCCACCGUGAGCCAUGGGAUGAUGUAGGAAUCAUCCCAUGAUUGGUGGCACCUUCAUAUUAGACUAUGUUGGACUUCGCAGCCUCCAGAACUGUGAUAAACAAAUACCUUAUAAGUUACGACACCUCUGAUAUUGUGUUAUAGCAACACAAAACAGACUGAGACUCUUUCUCUCAUUCCCUCUGGGAGCUCAUGAACUAGGAGCCUGAGAUAAGCCCCAUUCAGAGGAGUCUCAUCUGAGCAAAGGCCGUUUUCGUUGCUAUCCUAUCAUGCUAUAGACAGCAAUGAUGAAUCAACUUAGCUGAUCGGAGGGCAGUCAGCACCAUCAGAAACAACAUGUCCUCUUAGCACAGUAACUGCUGGGAACAUCUACAAGAUUCCUCAGGGUGUAUGGGCAACAGACACAGGGAGCGUGCAGAGAGGCAGGUGGCACAGCCCCUGAUAUCUGCGGUGGUGAGACGCACAAUGGGAGCAGAUUCAAGCUUCACCACACAGACACUCAAAGAAUCAACGGAUACACGGAGACACCCAGGCACCUGCAUUAAUACCCAUAUACUCCCAGACACAUGGCCACACUCAUAGACACACCUACAGAAUGACACACUCAGACAUUCAGUGUGAAAGACACAAAUGCUCAGAUAAAUGCCCAGGUGGUAGGGAGGAACAUUAAAAUCCCACAACUCAUGUUUCCAGGGAGGGGAAGUCUUUUCCAUUGCACCAUGCAGGAGGGAAAAGUAUUGAAGGAACACUUCUUGCCCUUGUCCAUCCCCUCACCCAUUUCUCCCCAGAGGAGAGUUGGUGAGUUUGGGGGAGGAACAGAGCAUGCUCAGUCUAGUCUCCCCUAGGGCUUCUCUGUCUUUUACCCUGCCUGCCUGCAGAGGGGAAACAACAUUCUCAUCAGUCCUCUGGUACUGGGUGGCCUCUCAGGGUCGGCUUGGCCCCUCUGGGGAGUUGCCUGGUGUGACCAGUGCCGAUGGACACGUCUAUCUAAUUCAUUGGGGAAGAAUUUGCAGACCCUUUGGCUACAUAUCCAAAGCCACAUUCUUUACUUGACUGUACCCAGUAAUAGAGCUGACAUUCUGAUCUUCACCUCUAUCUCUGAGGCCUUAUUUCUCAGUUGGUGUCAAACUUGCGAUUCCCCGGUUCCAACACCAAAUAUUCCCACUUAGAGGAAAAACAGAAACAUGGACAAAUGUUCAAAGACACAGCAGAGAAACAUAGAUGAGAUGGUACAUUUGCUCUCCUGAGUGGAGGGAGGAUGGUUAGAAGAGCAGUUCAUGAGUCUGGCUGGGUGUUAGAAUCACCUGGGAAGAAUUACAAAUAGGUACUCAUGUCUGGGUCCUACUCCAGACAAACUGAUUCAGAAUCUACUGGGUCAGGGCCUGGGCAGUGGUCAAUUUUAAAGCUCCCCAGGUGAUUCUAACAGGCAGCUUCCCCACUCCCCAGCACUCCAUGAGGAGCAAAAGAGUGUUGGUGACUGGGGGCCUAACCCAUCGGUCACAGACCUCCCUCAGACGUCACUUGCUUCCAGCUAUAGCUCCAAAUUUCUCUCCUAUGGACAUUCUGGGGAUUCUGGUAGCAGCUGAGGGCUGUGCACUAAGCAGGCAAUUGCCUUUGGCUGCUGCUCUUCUGACUCUUCUAACUCUUCUGGUGGACCAUGGGGGCUGUCUCACCACUCUUCAAGCAGAAGUCCCUCACUCCUGCCUUGGAUCCCCAACACGUACGGAUGCUUAGGUCGACAUGGUAUUUUUCCUCUUGCUUUCAGUCUAGCUUCCUGUUGCAUCUCUGCUUGGUUGGCCCCUGGCAGAGCAGGUGCACAGGACACCGAGUGGAGAACUGGCCCCAGUGACAGUGGCUCGGCACAUGCUCUUCAUCCCAUAGCCAAAGGCACUUUCUUUGUGAUGCAUGGAGGCCAAACUCUUCUGCCAGCAACAGAGAAGCAAGGCCAGGCUGAUGGCUGCAAAAUGAGAGCGUGGUGUAAAGAUGGGAGCAGAGGUGGCGUGUACCCAUCCAGUGGCCUUGAUGCUUCUGUGAAUAUGGAG